UCUUAAGCCAAUCGGGUUCGCCUAGUGAGCGAACGUGCCGUUACGUAAUUAAUAUUCAUGAGCUAAGCCUUCCCCGUAGUAGGGUUCGUCCAGCGGGGUUCGGUGUGUCCGAUCCGGGGCGCUGUUGGGCUGGAUUUCACGGUUGGAGACUCAUCUUUGGAGGCAUAUUCUCUCUUUCAUUACUUUCUUCCCUGAUCCGCAGUGUUUGUUGAGCGUCUGCCCGACUGGAUCUGCUUCAUCAUGGCCGUCUGAAUUCAGAUCCAAAUCCCAGUCUGAUCCCCUUUUCUCAAUCAUCCAUCCCGAUCGCUCUGGGAAGCAUUUCUUUGGGAUUUUACUUCAUUUGUGCCAAUGUUCAAACAUGCAGCCUCCGCCAAGAAAGGUAAAAGUGACACAGGAACUGAAGAACACGCAUACGGAGCAGCUCGGCCGCCUGCACCUCAAACACCAGACGGAAUGUGAUUUAUUGGAAGAUAUGAGAAACUGAUGGAUGGAGCAGAUGAAAUAGAAGGAAAAAGCAAAGCAGACGAGGAGAAAUAGUUGCUUUGAGGGAGCAGCUUUGUGUAUGAGACACAUAAUGAGUUCCAUCAAGACUCUUCUGGCUGGAUCUGUUUGUUUCAUUGUGAACCCGCGAGGCAGUAUGACGACUAUACUGUUUUUCUAGAAAACGCUAUGAGUGUG